rnacentral:rRNA from 1 species
AGUCGAACGCCCCUUCGGGGGAGUGGCAGACGGGUGAGUAACGCGUGGGAACCUUCCCUAUGGUACGGAAUAGCUCCGGGAAACUGGAAGUAAUACCGUAUAAGCCCUUCGGGGGAAAGAUUUAUCGCCAUAGGAUGGGCCCGCGUCGGAUUAGCUAGUUGGUGGGGUAAUGGCCUACCAAGGCAACGAUCCGUAGCUGGUCUUAGAGGAUGAUCAGCCACACUGGGACUGAGACACGGCCCAGACUCCUACGGGAGGCAGCAGUGGGGAAUAUUGGACAAUGGGCGCAAGCCUGAUCCAGCCAUGCCGCGUGAGUGACGAAGGCCUUAGGGUUGUAAAACUCUUUUGGCGGGGACGUUAAUGACGGUACCCGCAGAAUAAGCCCCGGCUAACUUCGUGCCAGCAGCCGCGGUAAUACGAAGGGGGCUAGCGUUGUUCGGAAUCACUGGGCGUAAAGCGCACGUAGGCGGACUUGGUCAGUUGGGGGGUGAAAUCCCAGGGCUCAACCCUGGAAACUGCCUCCAAUACUGCCAGUCUUGAGUCCGAGAG